CCUGAACCUGAACCUGAGCCCAGCUGUGUGUCCAUGAAGAGUGAGGGGUCUAUGGAUCGACCUACUAACUUCAAAGACCAACGGCACUCUGUGGAUCAUGGGAUCCAGAAGGAGAGACCAGACUCCCCUGAGCCCAGCUGUGUGUCCAUGAAGAGUGAGGCGUCUAUGGAUCAUCCUAUUCAGUUCAAAGAUGGACAGCACCCUG